ACUCCUACGGGAGGCAGCAGUAGGGAAUCUUCCACAAUGGGCGCAAGCCUGAUGGAGCAACACCGCGUGAGUGAAGAAGGGUUUCGGCUCGUAAAGCUCUGUUGUUAAAGAAGAACACGUAUGAGAGUAACUGUUCAUACGUUGACGGUAUUUAACCAGAAAGUCACGGCUAACUACGUGCCAGCAGCCGCGGUAAUACGUAGGUGGCAAGCGUUAUCCGGAUUUAUUGGGCGUAAAGAGAGUGCAGGCGGUUUUCUAAGUCUGAUGUGAAAGCCUUCGGCUUAACCGGAGAAGUGCAUCGGAAACUGGAUAACUUGAGUGCAGAAGAGGGUAGUGGAACUCCAUGUGUAGCGGUGGAAUGCGUAGAUAUAUGGAAGAACACCAGUGGCGAAGGCGGCUACCUGGUCUGCAACUGACGCUGAGACUCGAAAGCAUGGGUAGCGAACAGGAUUAGAUACCCUGGUAGGAAACC
rnacentral:rRNA from 1 species